rnacentral:rRNA from 1 species
UGCCAGCCGCCGCGGUAAUACGGAGGGUGCAAGCGUUGUUCGGAAUUACUGGGCGUAAAGCGCGCGUAGGCGGCUAUUUAAGUCAGAUGUGAAAGUCCACGGCUCAACCGUGGAAGUGCAUUUGAAACUGGAUGGCUUGAGUACUGGAGGGGGUGGUGGAAUUCCCGGUGUAGAGGUGAAAUUCGUAGAUAUCGGGAGGAAUACCGGUGGCGAAGGCGACCACCUGGCCAGAUACUGACGCUGAGGUGCGAAAGCGUGGGGAGCAAACAGGAUUAGAUA